UACGUAGGGGGCAAGCGUUGUCCGGAUUUAUUGGGCGUAAAGAGCGUGUAGGCGGCCAAAACAGGUCCGUUGUGAAAACUGGAGGCUCAACCUCCAGACGUCGACGGAAACCGUGUGGCUAGAGUCCGGAAGAGGAGAGUGGAAUUCCUGGUGUAGCGGUGAAAUGCGCAGAUAUCAGGAAGAACACCAAUGGCGAAGGCAGCUCUCUGGGACGGUACUGACGCUGAGACGCGAAAGCGUGGGGAGCGAACAGG
rnacentral:rRNA from 1 species